GGGAUGACGGAAAAUGUUAUCCUAUAGACCAAUCUGACUGGGAUGCAGAGUGUGUACAAUAUUCCUGCAGUAGGCAGAAAGGUGUUCUUAAGCUGUCAUCACAGCAAGGAUGUAAAGAUGCAUCAGGACAGUGUCACUCUGUUGGUUCCCAAUGGGAUGAAAAUACAGAAAGUCAGUGUGUGACCAAAUCCUGUAACGUCGAAGGUUUAACUUUUUUCGAAAAGAUUAUUAAACAUGAAUGCAGAGAUAUACAAGGUAAAUGUCGUCAAGUUGGAGAUACUGGAUUUAAUGUUAAAAUGAAUGGCUUAUUGUACGAGAGCUGUACGUGUAAUUACGAGG